rnacentral:lncRNA from 1 species
AAGCAAAAAACACAAACAAGGCAUUUAGAUUUGUUAGGAAGGAAUUCAAGUCAGUCAGUAAAGUGAUAACUUUUGAAUUAUCUGAGAAAAAUAUACUCAGAACAAAAUCAGGCACACUAAAGGUAUCCAUAAUCCACAUUAUUUACUAGGCUAAAGGUAAGUACAAACAAAUCUACAUGGACUAAUUGUAUCACAGAACAAAAAGGGUAGCAAAAUCCAGUAAUUCCAAUGGAGUAAUAAAGUUGCAGACAAAGGAAAAUUAACGUGUGCAUUGCUUGAGAUAUGACUAAAAUGUCAUUAAAAUAAAUUCUAAGUUAUGAAUAUUCAUUUGAAAAGUUACAAAGUACACACUGAUUUAUAUUUCAGAAGCAAGGAUAUAUGUUUCUAUAUAAUUUAGUCCUAAAUAUAGUUCAUUUCCUAUGCUAAUGCUUUUUUCCUUCUUCUUACCUUCUUAGGUCAACAACAAGAGGCCAGGACCUCCCAAGAAAAGCUUUACUAAUGUAAUAGCUUUGGCCAAGUCCACCCAAUAUAUUUUCCUCUCUGCAAAGAGAAACAAGCUAUUGUCUCAUCUUAGGUUUCAUCUUCUUCCAUGCCACUGUUAUUCAUGUUCAAAUCCUGGCUGUCCUUCAGGGUCCAAUUCAAAUGAUUAUCGCCAUUUUCUAUUAAUGUCAUUUCUUCCUAUUUUCUACCUUUUGUUAGCUAUGUUAAAGUGUUUCUUUACCAACAUCCCCCAUAUAUUGUGUAACACAGUGUCUAUGGCUUACUCAUUUUUGAAUCCUUAUCAUGACCUGACAUAAUGAAGAUUCUUAGUACAUAGUGAUACAUGUAAAUAUGAGUUAAUUAGUACAUGAUAGACUUGAUUUCCAGAAUGAUUUUGUAUAGUUGAAUUGUGUAGUAAGGGGACACAUGUGAAAUGAAGACUUUAGUCAGUAUCAAGAAGAUAUUUUGGGUGACUUCACAUAUCUGCCAAUGAUAAAUCUAGAAACAAUAGGUGCUUGGGUAGGUGAUUUCCUUUUGCCUUCUUUAUCAUUGUUUUCCCAGUAUUUCUUACAUUCAUCUAAUUUCAUUAGAUGCCCAUAUACUUUAUACUGGCUCUUCCUGUGAGGUUCGAACUGGUCCAGUCCAUUUGUUUUCAGAAUUGAUUCAUCUGGAGAGUCAUCUCCUAUCCUCCCAAACAAUGAUAUACCAGUCUGAGGACUGUGUAGAAGGGACUUCUCUUUCUACUCAGUAUGACCAAAAUAAUUCAAUUCUAGUUGUGGUGUGUGAUUUAUGAAUAUUUUGUCCUUUAGUUUGUGUGAGCCAAUUUUGUGCCAUAAGAAUUUUAGCCUCCUUUUCCACAAAAGAGUGAUUUAAUCAAACAAAAGUUGACAAUCAAUGUAGUACAUUUGUGUGACAGUGAUUAAACAUGGUGUUUUUCUCUUAGGUGUCUGAGUAGAUUUGGAAAUGCCCAUUCAGCCCUCAGAGCUCCUCUGCUUUAAGGGUGAUGGACUUCCUGUACCACUACGUAGUGCAUGAGUGCCAGCCACUGGUAUCUAGAACUGUGAUUAGUGAGGAAACACUAGGAGGAACAAACAACCCAACUCUUUUUAUCUAAUCUGUUGACUCCAAAGGGACCUUCUGCUUAUUCCAGUUAAAACUCAAGCUGCAAUUCAAAAUGAAAUCAGUAUCUUUUUUCUCUACUUUUCAGCAAAGCAAGAUGCUACCUUAUAAUUACCACGUAACAAUCAAUCGCAAACAUAGUGGCUUAAAGCAGCUCCUCUUUUAGCCUACAUAUCUGCAAACUGGCAGUCUGGACUGAGCUCAGCUGGAUGUUUUUUCUGAGCUGAUCAUGUAUGUAGGGUCUGCUGCUGGCUGGUUUAGACUGAUGGUGGAUGAGAAACCACAUGAAGAAGAGAGGCAUGAUGGUGGCAGAGUUCUGAAAGAGUCACACAGAAGGGCGUUGAGUUCGUGGCUUGAAAAUAGCAUCCUGUCACUUCUACCACAUUCUAUUUACCAGGCCAGCCCAGAUAAAGAUGUGAAGAAACAGACUCCAUCUCUUGAUGGGAGAAGUUGAAAAUCAAUGGAAAAUGGCAUGGAUAAGGAAAGGAGUGAUGAUUGUGGCCAUAUUUGUAAUGGCCAUAUUUGAUACCCUUUUCAGUUUUCCUAGCCACACUUCUCAUUGGCCAGGAAAAUUAAAUGCAUGUCAACACUGAAGAAAACAGAUCUUGGUUAAAAGCAAUGAUGUAGCUAAUAUCCCGUUCAGGUAAAAGAUUACUUAUAUAGUGUGAGACAGGCAUGAGGCAGAGAAGUGCUUACAGGUUGGUUUCUGCUUUGUUAGCAGAUUUACUUUUAGAUCAUAUACUACUUUGUUUUUACUGUUUUAUUGAGAAAAAAUAACAAAUAUUUCCAAAAUUUUGCAGCAUGCAACUCAGUGCUUCAGUUGGCAUUCAAUCAAAAUUUCCUUGAAAUAAAAAAAGACAAGAGAGAGACUUGGAAUUAUGACUCUUCUACUAGAUUAGCUCCUUCAUGUCAAAAUCUGUCAAGUUUAUGAUUUAUUCAGAUAGCACUUGUUUUUGGUGUAAUAACUAAACUGUUGCUUUAGAGUCUACUACAUUCUCCUCUAUUAUUUGGCAUUUUUCUCUUUAUUAUUUUGUUCAAGUAGGAUAUUGUGCUGAGUUGAACCAUGAAAUGAAUUGUAUUGAGCAACAUCAACAACAUAAAUAUUCUGGGGUGUCAUCUGCAUUUUCAUAUCUGGCUGCUCAAAUUCUUUUUACAGCUAUAGCUUUGAUAAUAAUGUAAUAGCAUAAUGUUUUUCAUUAGAUAUCAAAUCAUAGAAGACAACAAAGAUGUGUUAAGUUAGCAUAGUUUAAUAUAAGGAAACAACAGCAUCAGUAAAAGCAUUGAGCACUAAAUAUCUCUUCCAUUUCAGUUCUUUUACAGGAAGCUUUUGUUACGUGUUGUCAGCACAUUGCUGUGAUGCUCAAGUAUAGCUCUUUAAUGUGAAAACCUGGUAUUUGGGCAUGGCUUGAAGCAGGUGGGUGUCAUUGUGACUGGCUGCUACCUCCCCAUGAGUCUUCUAAAAUAAAACCUGCAAAUUCACAUCUUCCCCAUGCUUCCAGAGAAUGCAUAUUCUUCCUUUGAAAAAAGAAAACCAGCACUGUUCAUAAUAGCCAAGAUUUGGAAGCCACCUAAGUGUCCAUCAACAGAUGAAUGGAGAAACUGUGGUACAUAUACACAACGGAGUGCUAUUCAGCCAUAAAAAAGAAUGAUACUCUGUCAUCUGCAACAACAUGAAUGGAACUGGAGAUCAUUAUGUUGUUAAAUAAGCCAGACACAGAAAGACAAACAUCACAUAUUUUCACUUAUUUUGGGGAUAUAAAAGUCAAAACAAACUCAUGGAGAUAGAGAACAGAUAGACGGUUACCAGAGGCUAGGAGGAGGAGUGGUGGGGGGCAGUUAGUGAUGGUUAAUUGGUACAAAAAAAUGGUUAGAAAUAAUAAAUAAGACCUAGUAUUAGAUAGGACAACAGGAGGACUAUAGUCAAAAAUAAUUUAUUUGUACAUUUCAAAGUAACUAAAAGAGUGUAAUUGUAUUAUUUGUAGCACAUAGGAUAAAUGCUUGAGGUGACGGAUACCCCAUUUACCCUGAUGUGAUUAUUACACAUCGUAUGCCUGUACCAAAAGAUCUCAUGUACCUCAUAAAUACAUACACCUACUAUAUACCCACACAAAUUAAAAAUUAAAAAAAUUUAAAGAAAUUACAGUUUGUUGGUUUUGAAUAUUUGACCAAAUUUUUUACUAAGCACAGAUAGAUUGAAUAUAAUUUUAUUGUCCUUUUGACAUUAUGAUAAUGAAGGUAUCUACACAGAAGUCUGAGAUGAGAAAAAAAUGAUAUAAUAUCCACCUACUACAUAGUGGGUAGUUUAUAUACUAAAGUUAUUGUUAUGAGAAAGAAUGGCUUAGGAAUAUUAUUUAAAAUUAAUUAAGGGGUGUUAAAAAUAAAAUACCAAGUGUAAAAAUGACAAAGGCAAGAAGAAACAGUAUAUAAUGUGAGUAAAUCUUAAUCUUUCCAAGAGAGGAGACAGUACAUAAUGUCUAAAAUUGUUAAACCAUGAAAUAGAAAUAUAGUUAUUUUAUUCAUAAUUAAGGAGAUAACUACUAUAGCACGAAAUCGUGCCAAAAAUGGUUGCCUCUGGGAAAUGUGAUUAUAGAUAUUAUAAUAUUUUGGACUGUAAAAAUCUGCUUUUAAGACUGAGGAAAUACAAAUAGGACAAUAUUUAUUUGAAAUUUGUAUCCUCAGGGAGUGUAAAGAAAUUAAUGUAUCCACAAAAUAAUAAUAGCUGCUAUUUGAAAACAUAGUUUUCUUGAAAGUUAAAAUAGUAAUAGUCUUCUAAAAAUUUUGUUAGUUUUGGUUUUCUCUUUAAUCUGAGUUAUGUAGAAAAGUGCUUAUUUCAAAUUAGGUAGGCUUGUUUUAUUCCUUUUUCUGUCUUUUUUCUAUCAACUAGUGUUUUAUUGUGUUCAGAAAAUGCCAUGCAUUAAAAGACUACUUUUGAGAAUUUCUAGAGAUUUUCUUUGUUACUAAAGAGAUUUUUGUAAUUGUUACAUGGGAUUUUAAAAAGAAUGUAAAUUAUCCUUUUUGUCAAGUAUAAUGAUUUCUGAAACCUAGCUGUGUCAGAAUACUGUAUAAUACUGUAAUAGUAUGUUGUUUUUGGCUAUGUGUACUUAUUUCUUAGAGUGGUAUGUUAAAGCCUCGACCUUGUGACUUUGUUUAUUUCUCUCUCUACAUCUAAACAUUUCCAAGACAUGUUAUUUGCAAUACCAAGACCAUAACUAUUAUGUAUUUAAUCAAAAUAAAAUAUUUCGGCUCUCUAUAAUUCACCUUGAACUUUAUUUUGUUAAAUAUAAAUGUUGUUGAUUAUACAACAUUUCAUUAUCAAUCCCUAGACACAUUUCUAAUCCACUAUAAUUGUUUUAAAAUAAAAGGAGAAGGGAAGGUUGUA